AUCUUCAGGGCGGGGUGCAAUUCCCCACCGGCGGUAAAGCCCGCGAGCCGAAAGGCACGAUCCGAUGCAAUUCCGGAGCCGACAGUAAAAGUCUGGAUGGGAGAAGAU
rnacentral:ncRNA from 1 species